rnacentral:rRNA from 1 species
UGCAGAGGGUGCGAGCGUUAAUCGGAAUUACUGGGCGUAAAGCGUGCGUAGACGGCUAUCUAAGUCGGGUGUGAAAGCCCCGGGCUCAACCUGGGAAUUGCAUUCGAGACUGAAUAGCUAGGGUACGGUAGAGGGAAGUGGAAUUUCCGGUGUAGCGGUGAAAUGCGUAGAUAUCGCUUGGAACGCCAAUGGUGAAAACAGCUCGCUGGGGGUGUGCUGACGCUGAGACACGAAAGCCAGGGGAGCGAACGGG